GCUCACUCAUGGGUGCCCCUCUAACACGAGCUAGCUUUAUCUUCCAGCCACUGCUCCGAAGGCACUGUAAUGUUUCUGUUAAAAAAAACAGUCACAGAGAGGGAAAAAACUAUACUGGGACCCUUUCUGUUUCUAUUCCACAAUGCACCAAGGAAGGCUUUUGUUGUCUGUGCUGUAACUGUUUGGUUCCAUCAGCAGAAUCAGCAGGCAUCAAGGUGCAGGAAGGCAUUUCUCUGCCAUGAUGCUGUACAGGAGAUCCAGGUGUCUCCAGCUUUGCAACCAUAUUAGUGCAGAUUUGAAGCUGGUUUCCUGAAGAAGUUAAAACACAAGCAAGAAGAUGGUGAGAUCAGAAAACCUGCAAAGAUAAAGAAGGAAGACUGAAGUAAUCUCUGCUAUGGAUAUAAGAAAAGUGGUACUGAGUGAUACACCUGUCUAUGCAGUGUAGGUCACACUGUGCAAGGGAGCCUGAUAACACUGAUCUUGCUCUAAAACCUCUUGAGCAUCCCUCCAGCAGUGGUGUCCAUACUCUUGGCAUCUCCAGCUACUUGUUUGUCAUUCCACAGGCUAGAAAAGCAAUUCAACUCCUAGGUAGUAUUGAAGCCACACAACACAAAUUCAAAUUGCACUGCUGCUUGACAUCUUGGUUCUCUGUAGACAUUCACUAGAGGGAAAAGCUCAGUUGCAUUCCGUAUUUUCAGGCUUUUCCUGUACAAGUGGGGAAAAAAAGGAAAGAGAGGCAGCAUAGACUCACGUUUAUUUGCACUGACUGUCGCAAUUAAAAACUGAAACCAUGAUUUGGAAAACAAUCAAAAAGAAAUGCCGCUUCUGAUGAGAUCACUUACAUUGACUGUAGUUGACAUGACUGAUAUCCCACCAGCCUGCCUACCUGCUGCUCUGUAGUGCCUCUGGAAACAAUUUUUCAUCUCUGCUUGUUCUGGAGUUGGAGCAGUGUGAGAGAGACAAAAAGCUGCUGCUGCACCACCACUGUACAGUCAUUUCUAUUUGUCAGAGCAUUUAUGCAAUAUUUACCCAGCUCUGCCAUCUCGUAAUCUUUAGAAGUAAUUACCAUCACAAGCACCACUGAGCUGGGAAGUCAUAUCACUCUCAUCACAGAGUGCACUGAACUGCUGGGUGACCAGGCAACGUCCCCAGUGACAGUGCAGGGCAUGGAAAACUCAGGUUUUGCUGUGCCACUCUCAUACCAGUUAAGCUGAACUCCGUUCCAUUUUUUCUAAUGCUUUCAGCAUAUCCACCAAUUUGUUCUCACGUUUAAAGGAAAUUAAAAUUUAUCUGCACAAAGAAAAGUUUUUUCUCCAUUAGAAAUCACAGCCAUGUAUGUUAAAUCUUGAAAAUAUUAAAGCCAUUCUGGGACCCAAAUUCUCCUCAAGUUUCACAAAAUGCUUGCAUCUCUUCAUUCAGUUCUCCCACAAAACACCUAAUUUUCUGGACAGAGACAGCCGGAGUACCAGACAAAUUCAAAUAUACAAAUUAAAUUCAUAAAACUUACAAUUUUGUGUUUAGGUCUAUCAUGCAAUCAUUGUCUGCAAUGGCAACUUCAUUUUUGGAGGAACACCAGGAGUGCCAGUUUCAUUCAAUAAAUAUGGUUGUCCUCUCUGAAACCCAGAUCUCUGCAAAGCCCCAACCUAAUGAAGGCAAAAGAAAUCUACUUCAGAGGGGCCAAUACAAUUUUCUAUUUGCAUUAAUGACUGAUAUCACUUUCACAGAAAUGACAUCUUCCUCUCUGCGUGAAGAUGAGAAAGUGAGACAUCUCCAUUGUCUUCAAGAGUCAACUAUGGAAGAGAAGAAACUGUAGAACAGCGUGAAGCUUUUAAAUACAGGCCAUAGUAGAAAUCCUAUUAGCAGAUAUUACUGUUGUUAGCAAAAUUAUUUACUUUCAUCAUAUGAGAAAGCAGAUAAAGCACUGAUGAAAUUACGUAGAUAAAUAAGAUGUAGGAAGAAGUCCAUGGAGGAAGUCCAGUUCUUUUCACAAAGCUGCUGAUCAAGAGGGGACAGCCAGAAUACAUAGCCAACAUUGAACUCAUAAGCAUCUUCCCUGGGCAUAACUGACUGCCUCAGGAUGUGAAAUGUACUUACUGACAAGGAUUCUUGCAGCUAUAACAAACUGCAAAAACUUUCUUUAUAAAAGAAGGAAUAACCUGACAGGACAGAAAGCAACAUCUUAUAGGAAGAUGACAGUUCUGGAGGAAGGAUGCUGAAUUCUGACACCCAGCUUAUAAAGACAUGACUUCACAUCUUCUCCUCAUGAAGGAACAGGUUGUAUUCAGGUGUGAUGUAAACACAGAAGAGCUAACAAAAGUCUGUCGUCCCAUUUAUAAGAAAGAUGAAUUGACUCAGGAGAAAUUCAGUUCAGCAAAAGGGGAAAGUAGUCCCAUAAACCCAGCUUUAUCCCUUCAGCUUGACAGAUUUCAGUAUGUUUUUGAAGCAUUUUUCCUCCCUGUACCCGGCUUAGUCAGAAACAAAUGCCAGCUGUCCAUUCAUCAGCUUGCUUGCUUCGAUACCUGAGCAUUAUCUUGUAACAAUGCCACUUUGUGCAAAACAUCUUCAUGUUUCAGACACGCAAUUGCCACUGCAUUCAAGUUCAAGGCACGAAAUUUAUACCAGAUUUCAAACACUCCUCACUCUCAGGAAUGGUGUUGCAAAGAGAGUGUUGAUACACACAGCAGGUUAAAACAGGCAUUGCUCUGCCAAAAUUAGUCCCCAAAUUUUCAUUUGAUCCUCGUUUAUUUUAGAAGAUGCUCAGGUGUUAAGAGAGCACUGAAUGCAAAUAUUGUUCCAGCAGACAGGGCAUCACUGUCUAUAGACAACAAUGUCCAUUACAGCCAUGGAAAGCAAGAGGCUGUGAAUUGUGCAUUUCUUCAGCUGUAUUUUUACCAGUAUCACCUACAUGUGUUCCAGUUCCCUAUCUCAUACCUAUCCAUGUGAUGUUUACAAAAGUAUGCGAGCUGGUGGUAAGCUCUGCUACCUAUCAUACUGCAGUUGAAAUUAUAGAUUCCCCUGCAACAAAUAAAGGUAGAUAAAUCCUUAAGAUGAGCCAGCAUCCUUGUUCUAUUUCUACAGAAAUAGCAAACCUUUAAAGAAAGCUCCAGUCCACUCAACAGUUUAUUGGCAAGAUACUACAUAACACAACUGAUGUAGGUGUGCAAGGGAAGCAAACUCAUAGCUACACAAAGCAUUUGUAGAUUUGAAGAUACUACAAAUGCUUAGAAAAGCGUAAUUUGCCUCAAUGUCUGUUUAAACCCUUACAUUCAGAGCUCUGUUCAACAGAGCAUUGUAAGCUACACAAGAAAAAAAUAAUUACAGCAUCAUGAAUACUUCAGUUAAGAAAGCUAAGUGAAUUCCAUGCAGCUGAAAGGAAGCAAAAUUGACUGACAUCCCCACGAGCUGAAUUCUAUUAUACUCGCAAAACAGUCCAAAGGCAAACACAAAGCCAGUUCUCCUCCUACACUAAGUAUGUUAACCUGAGGAACCUUCCAGGAAAGUCAAGAAAGAAUGCAUCCAUUCAUUCAUUAAUUUAUUCAUUUUCUGCCCUAAGACAACCAGCUAAGGAAAUAUGGCUGGGGAAGAAAGAAAAUUAAGAACUUUGUACGAGGCAGAACCCUGCCUUUUUACAGCCCUGAUAAAGGCCACUAUGUGAUUUUAGUUGAUCUUUAAACCAAAACAAAAGCCAAAACAAACAAACAAACAUAACCAACAGGAGGCAUUCAAAAAUCAGACUCUGUGUAGCAAGAAAGGGAUAUGCACAGCUAUCUAUCCUGCCCUUAGAUGCUUCCUUCAAGGAGAAGGGGUUCAGCACGGAAACUUACUGCUGGAGCCACACGAACCUUUUCAGUAGCAGGAGUGCUUCACUCUCCAGAUACAUUAGGAGGGAAGUGACAUUUAUAGCUCUACUGAAAACAGAAAUAAAGAAAAGCAAUGAAGAGACCAGUUGUGUCCCCUGCUUUCCUUCCUCUCUUGCCUCCUCCUAGCUCAUAUACUCUCCAGGAAGAAAGAUUUGACUCCCCUUUGACUUUUCAGAACAGCUGGCCUGCCUCUAACAAAUGAGACACCAGAAAAGGAAGGUUAGGAGUGAUUGAGCUGCAGAAGAGACCCAGCUGACCUCAGGCUAUCCUAAGGCCUCCCCUCUAUUAGAAAAACAUGACAGUUCCCAAGGAAGCAAGUGGAGGCAUUUCCUCACUAAAGUUCAGGGAAAUAGUUCUCAUCAUGGCUCAAAUCAUUUUUGUUUGAGGAAACCAGGACCAAACCCUAUCAUUGCUGUUUGCUAUUAUACCACUGACAACUGCUGUGAGCCUUACAUAUGACAGACUACGAUUCUAGGUAGGAAUUUAAAAGUAGUUGUCUCUAACAACUGUAUUUUUUCAUUUCUUUAGAGAUGCAUCAUUUGAAGAUAUUUAACCAGUCUUAGGUUUCUUUCUUCCAACGAAACUGAAGCAAGAACUCUACAUCAUUACAAGAGCUGAUGCAUUUCAAACCAGAUUCAC